rnacentral:lncRNA from 1 species
UUUUGACCUCGUCCAGUGUAAUGAUUUGGACUUGUAAGAAUCAUGAUUCACGAGUCCAUAACUACUAAAUCCACUACAUGUCAUUAUGCAUACUGCUAAAAAUUUAGCUACAGUGUGGGGUUCAGUUUCAGGAGGUAUGAAUUCAAAAUUGUUUGGUCACCUCAUGUCAUUUUUAAGCAUCGAGUCAUUUUUGCAAUCAAAAUACUUUUAAUCUUCAGGAUUGAUUAAUCUUAAUCGCAUGUUGGAGCUUGAUCAAAAUAUUUUGUAAAAAUACCCUUUGAAAGAAGCAUCUCUUGAUUUCAAAACAACAGGAAGAC